rnacentral:lncRNA from 1 species
AGCAAUGGUUUGGGUAAAUAUGAAGCAUAUUUUUGACCUGUAGCCUGCAUGGCUGGUUUCUGCGUAAUUCCUACCACCCACCAGAAUAUCUGAAUGCUGAAUAUGGAAAUAGAGCUUUGCAAUAUCUUGACAGUAGAUACUCGGAUAACUGCGUCUUAAAUAUAGUCAGGGAGUUUAGAAAAAUGGAUGGUGAUAUCUCUGACAGUGUGGUCUCUCUGUGUGGUGCUUUAAUUUUAUCUUGCGUUUGAUUCUUUAUUCCUUAUUCCUUGUCUGUUAGUUAUCAGAAAAGAAAUAUGACAGAAACUUAGGAAUUUUUCUGACAGUCUUCUAGGCUUCUAGGUUAAGGUUUCUUGACUGUAAAGCAUGCAAGCAGUACCUUCAUUGAUCAAUUUGUGCCAUAAAAACUUGUAAACAAACUACAAUGCUAUAUACAAGCCUUUAUUUACAGAAAAAAAAAAAAAAGAAGAAGAAUGAAAAAACAAAACAAAACAACAAACACCACAAAAACAAACAAACAAAAAACAACAACGAAGUCUUUUCAGUCUUCUCUCAGCCUAAGGAAGCAGGUCCCUGGCACAUAGGAAAAUCUUCCUAGAUGAGGCCCAUGGUAAGGUUUGAUCGGAGGGAAUCUGUGCUGCACUGCAGGUGCUGCUGCACUGCACACAGAAGAAAUCUUUGACAGAUCUGGACUCAGAAAAAAGAACAGCACCCUGAAUUACAUGUAUCAUGGGUAAGGGGAUGCUAAGAAAAUAAUGAACCAAAAAGUCAAAAAACAAAGCAAUUCUGAUAGAUGAAGUAUUUUAUAUCUGCGUCAUCGAUAAAGAAGAAUUUUUAAGUAUAUAUAUAUAUUAUAUAUAGAAUUUUGAUUGGAAGGAAACUGUUCAGUUUGAUUUUUUGAAUAAACCUUAAACUAUCUGUAGCUGGAUACUGAUA